GGCAGCUUUAUUGACGUGUGCAAAAAUCUAGCACAAGGCAAGACGGCGUAGUGUUGUGUUGGUAGCCAACUGCUUUGUAAGCCGAAGGGGACGUUAUAGCUACGACGUUUAAAAGUAGGGCUGAUAAUGCUAUGUGAGAAACAAUAACGUAAAAGUGUGGGCACCUGUUUAACGAGCUAACUUUAGCGGUCUCCGAGAUUCUUGAGAGGAAUGCAGGAGAAAUUGACUGAACCAUAUUAUUUCCAAACUGUGGAUGACAGUAUGAAGGUGUGAGAGCAACGUGAUGAGCCAACAGAGUAUCAGAAGAUAGGUAAAAGAGAGAGUGUCCUGUCAUCCAGAGAGAUGGGCUUCCAGUUCUUGGCAUCCAGUGAUGAUGAGCAGAAUGUGCAGCAGGAUCACCUAAUUGGCCAGACUGGAGGGAAGUCCCGCCUGGGACCAUGAGAUGAGAGACCCCUCUUUAAGACCCUUAUGCAGACCUGUCCCUACCCCUGGAUCUCUGUCUCUGCUACAGGACCCCUGAGAGUGUCCUGAACCUGCCCUGGACAUUGGUGGCAGACUGUGAUUGGCUGAGAUGAGAGGUGGCUGGGACGGGAGACUUCGAAGAUAGAAGUUCUCUAAGAGAGGAAGGAAAGCAAGGCAGUAAAGACAAAUGCAUUAGUAAAGAAAGGAGAAGGCAACGUCAGAAUUAGAUUAUUCAGUCCUCAGGAUAGUGUCUCUACGUAUCCUUAUAUCAAUAUCUCACAUCAAAUUACAGCAUACUAUGUUGUAUAAAUUCGAUUUAAAUGUCUCAUUUCUGUCUGAUUCAGUUUUAUCAUCUCAUGCCUC